rnacentral:misc_RNA from 1 species
AAGUCGUAACAAGGUAACCGUAGGUGAACCUGCGGUUGGAUCAUUAAUAAUUCAAGAGGUACUUUAUUGUAUCUUUUUGGCUUGCACCACUUGCCAUUUAUUUGGCAUGAGGGGCUUGCUGAUAAAACACACUGUGCACUGUAAUUGUAUUUUGGGAAAGUUAUCGGCGGCUACACAACUAACUGUUAGCAUGUCUUACGGCUUUCCCUGCCCAAACCCAAAACCCAAACCAACGUAUUUAAACAUCAUAUGACUUAUACUUAUUUUUUAUAAAAUAAUACAACUUUUGACAACGGAUCUCUUGGCUCUC